UUUCCGUAGGUGAACCAGCGGAGGGAUCAUUACAGGACUCGCAAGACUCCUUCACCCUGUGAACCUCACUACAAGCACGUUGCUUCGGCGGGUGUCCCGGCGGGGGUUUUCCCUCGCCGGGGCGCACAGCCCGCCGGCAGCCUACUAUACUCUGUCUCUUUGCGUUGGCAUCUCGAGAAAAAACAAACAAGUUAAAACUUUCAACAACGGAUCUCUUGGUUCUG
rnacentral:misc_RNA from 1 species